rnacentral:tRNA from 1 species
GCAGGUAUAGUUCAGUGAUAGAAUGCUUGCCUAGCAUGUCUGAUGCCCUGGGUUCAAUUCCCAGCACUGCG